rnacentral:rRNA from 1 species
UACGGAGGGUGCAAGCGUUGUCCGGAAUCACUGGGCGUAAAGGGCGCGUAGGCGGCCUGGUAAGUAGGGGGUGAAAUCCUGCGGCUUAACCGCAGGGCUGCCUUCUAAACUGUCAGGCUUGAGCACGGUAGAGGCAGAUGGAAUUCCCGGUGUAGCGGUGGAAUGCGUAGAGAUCGGGAAGAACAUCAGUGGCGAAGGCGGUCUGCUGGGCCGUUGCUGACGCUGAGGCGCGACAGCGUGGGGAGCAAACAGGG